GGACUUUCGGCCGCCGAAGGUGCCGCCGAAAGUACCCGACUUUCGGAUCUGUCCAGGACUUUCGGCCGCCGAAGGUGCCGCCGAAAGUGCCCUGUCCAGCUUUCCUUUGCAUGUUUUCCUUGCAUGUUUUGAUGAUGUUCUAGGGGGUUUUUGGGGAGUUGUUUAUGAGUUGUUUAGAAUGUUUUGGCACCUCAUUCGAGUCCACUUGUGUAGGAUUGGACCCGAGGGACCGAGGAGGCCAUCAGUGUUAGCAGUUGCAGAGUCAGUC
rnacentral:lncRNA from 1 species